GACGAACGCUGGCGGCGUGCCUAAUACAUGCAAGUUGAGCGCUGAAGGUUGGUACUUGUACCGACUGGAUGAGCAGCGAACGGGUGAGUAACGCGUGGGGAAUCUGCCUUUGAGCGGGGGACAACAUUUGGAAACGAAUGCUAAUACCGCAUAAAAACUUUAAACACAAGUUUUAAGUUUGAAAGAUGCAAUUGCGUCACUCAAAGAUGAUCCCGCGUUGUAUUAGCUAGUUGGUGAGGUAAAGGCUCACCAAGGCGAUGAUACAUAGCCGACCUGAGAGGGUGAUCGGCCACAUUGGGACUGAGACACGGCCCAAACUCCUACGGGAGGCAGCAGUAGGGAAUCUUCGGCAAUGGACGAAAGUCUGACCGAGCAACGCCGCGUGAGUGAAGAAGGUUUUCGGAUCGUAAAACUCUGUUGGUAGAGAAGAACGUUGGUGAGAGUGGAAAGCUCAUCAAGUGACGGUAACUACCCAGAAAGGGACGGCUAACUACGUG
rnacentral:rRNA from 1 species